UGUUCUGUGGCGGAGUUGGUUAACGCGCCCUGUCUAGCGAACCUGGGGAGACGUGGGUUCAAAUCCCACCAGAACUA
rfam:Aedes albopictus isolate Foshan contig119843, whole genome shotgun sequence.